GCGCGGGGCCGCCUCGCGGUGACGCGCGUCCCGGGCCGGCCGUGGGCGGAUGCGGACGGCCUUGGGCCAGCUCGGCGCCCUGGUGGUCAGCUGUGGACGCCCAGGUUCGGGCGGCAAGGCACUCCCGGUGCGGACCAAGGAGCGCACCAGCUUGUGAGCAAGGGCCUGUAACGCUACGGCCGCAGCCAGAGAGGGGCAGGCCUGGCCGCCGCCGCCGGAGUGACCGCGCUGGUCUCUUUAUGUCUCUUUGGAGCGAAUGUCAUCUGUGGUAGAAAAGUUAUUGAAACCAAACGUUUACGUUAAUCCCCCAAGAAGAGAAGAAAUGGCCCUAAGAAACUUCCUUUCCACAGA